rnacentral:rRNA from 1 species
GUGGGGAAUCUUCCGCAAUGGACGAAAGUCUGACGGAGCAACGCCGCGUGAGUGAAGAAGGUUUUCGGAUCGUAAAGCUCUUUCGUUAGGGACGAACGUGCUCUUUGUGAAUAAUGAGGAGUAAUGACGGUACCUAAAUAAGAAGCCACGGCUAACUACGUGCCAGUAGCCGCGGUAAUACGUAGGUGGCAAGCGUUGUCCGGAAUUAUUGGGCGUAAAGCGCGCGCAGGCGGGAUAUCAAGUCUGUCUUAAAAGUGCGAGGCUCAACCUCGUGAGGGGACAGAAACUGGUAUUCUUGAGUGUCGGAGAGGAAAGUGGAAUUCCAAGUGUAGCGGUGAAAUGCGUAGAGAUUUGGAAGAACACCAGUGGCGAAGGCGGCCAUCUGGACCAGCACUGACACUGAGGCACGAAAGCGUGGGGAGCAAACAGGAUUAGAAACCCGGGUAGUCC